CCCGCUGAACUUAAGCAUAUCAUAGGCCGAAGAAAAGAAACUAACAAGGAUUCCCUUAGUAACUGCGAGUGAAGAGGGAAAAGCUCAAAUUUAAAAUCUGGCAGUGUUUCACUGUCCGAGUUGUAACCUAGAGAAGUGUAACCUGCGCUGGACCGUGUAUAAGUCUCCUGGAAUGGAGCAUCACAGAGGGUGAGAAUCCCGUCUUUGACAUGGACCACCAGUGCAUUGUGGUUGUGCUCUCAACGAGUCGAGUUGUUUGGGAAUGCAGCUCUAAACGGGUGGUAAAUUCCAUCUAAAGCUAAAUAUUGGCGAGAGACCGAUAGCGAACAAGUACCGUGAGGGAAAGAUGAAAAGAACUUUGGAAAGAGAGUUAAACAGUAUGUGAAAUUGUUGAAAGGGAAACGUUUGAAGUCAGUCGCGUUGGUUGGGGAUCAGCCUGACAUUGUUGGGUUUACUUCCUGGUCGACGGGCCAACAUCAGUUUUGACUGCCAGAAAAAGGCCAAAGGAAUGUGGCACCUUUGGGUGUGUUAUAGCCAUUGGUCGUAUAUGGUGGUUGGGACUGAGGAAAGCAGCGUGCCGAAAGGCCGGGUUUCGACCACGUUCACGCUGAGGAUGUUGGCAUAAUGGCUUUAAGCGACCCGUCUUGAAACACGG
rnacentral:rRNA from 1 species